UCCUACGGGAGGCAGCAGUGAGGAAUAUUGGUCAAUGGACGAGAGUCUGAACCAGCCAAGUAGCGUGAAGGAUGAAGGUUUAUGGAUUGUAAACUUCUUUUAUACGGGAAUAACGGAUCCACGUGUGGAUUUUUGCAUGUACCGUAUGAAUAAGGAUCGGCUAACUCCGUGCCAGCAGCCGCGGUAAUACGGAGGAUCCGAGCGUUAUCCGGAUUUAUUGGGUUUAAAGGGAGCGUAGAUGGGUUGUUAAGUCAGUUGUGAAAGUUUGCGGCUCAACCGUAAAAUUGCAAUUGAUACUGGCAGUCUUGAGUACAGUUGAGGUAGGCGGAAUU
rnacentral:rRNA from 1 species